GGGGAUAUAGCUCAGUUGGUAGAGUGCUUGCCUUGCAUGCACAAAGCUCUGGGUUCAAUCCCAGCACCA
rnacentral:tRNA from 1 species